rfam:Populus trichocarpa isolate Nisqually-1 chromosome 13, whole genome shotgun sequence.
UGCAAUGAUGAGAUCACUAUCUCGUUAAUCUGAUAUUAACAUGGGGAAAAAUCUUGUCAAUUCAUAAAUGGACUGAGC